rnacentral:rRNA from 1 species
GAUGAACGCUGGCGGCGUGCCUAAUACAUGCAAGUCGAGCGAACGGACGAGAAGCUUGCUUCUCUGAUGUUAGCGGCGGACGGGUGAGUAACACGUGGAUAACCUACCUAUAAGACUGGGAUAACUUCGGGAAACCGUAGCUAAUACCGGAUAAUAUUUUGAACCGCAUGGUUCAAAAGUGAAAGACGGUCUUGCUGUCACUUAUAGAUGGAUCCGCGCUGCAUUAGCUAGUUGGUAAGGUAACGGCUUACCAAGGCAACGAUGCAUAGCCGACCUGAGAGGGGGAUCGGCCACACUGGAACUGGGACACGGUCCAGACUCCUACGGGAGGCAGCAGUAGGGAAUCUUCCGCAAUGGGCGAAAACCUGACGGAGCAACGCCGCGUGAGUGAUGAAGGUCUUCGGAUCGUAAAACUCUGUUAUUAGGGAAGAACAUAUGUGUAAGUAACUGUGCACAGCGUGACGGUACCUAAUCAGAAAGCCACGGCUAACUACGUG